rnacentral:rRNA from 1 species
CGAAAGCCUUUCCCCCAGGGGUGUUUUUUCUUUUUUCCAAGAACCAAAAGUUAGGGGGUCCAAAAGGGGUUCAGAAAACCCUUGUGGUUUAACCCUUAACUUUCCCCUGGGAAGGGGUUCCCCCUUUAACGGAAAUCCCCCCCCCCUCCCGGGAAAUUCAAAUGGUCCGUUUUUGGGGGGGGUAAAGUUCCCCAAGGCUGAACCUUAAAAGGAAUUUGACGAAAGGGCCCCCCCUGGAGUGGGAGCUGCGCUUAAUUUUGACUCCAACCCGGGGAAAACUCACCAGGUCCAGACACAAUAAGGAUUGACAGAUUGAUAGCUCUUUCUUGAUUUGUGGGUGGUGGUGCAUGCCGUUCCUUAGUUGGUGGAGUGAUUUGUCGCUUAAUUGCGAUAACGAACGAGACCUUGACCUACUUAAAUAGCUCUACUUGCGAUUGCAGGUAGCUAGCUUCUUAGAGGGACUAUCUAUUUACAAGUAGAUGGAAGUUCGAGGCAAUAACAGGUCUGUGAUGCCCUUAGACGUUCUGGGCCGCACGCGCGCUAAACUGACGGAGCCAGCGAGUCGACCAAGCCCGAGAGGGCUAGGUAAUCUUGUGAAAACUCCGUCGUGCUGGGGAUAGAGCAUUGCAAUUAUUGCUCUUCAACGAGGAAUUCCUAGUAAGCGCAAGUCAUCAGCUUGCGUUGAUUACGUCCCUGCCCUUUGUACACACCGCCCGUCGCUACUACCGAUUGAAUGGUUUAGUGAGACCUUGGGAGGGCGAGAUGAGGGGGGCAACCCCUUUUGAACAUCCAAACUUGGUCAAACUUGUUAUAAGAGGAAGAUAAGCGAACAAGUCC